rfam:Prevotella sp. CAG:474 genomic scaffold, scf242
GGGGACACACUUAGAGUCCCCCGUGUGAGCGUGUUAAUAGUGGCGCUUUUGGCCGAGCGUCAUGGUUAGUGAAUC